rnacentral:rRNA from 1 species
GGAGCCUGAGAAACGGCUACCACAUCUAAGGAAGGCAGCAGGCGCGCAAAUUACCCAAUGAAAACAGUUUUGAGGUAGUGACGAGAAAUAACAAUACAGAGCAUUUAAAUGUUUUGUAAUUGGAAUGGUGGGAAUCUAAACCCCUUUCAGAGUAACAAUUGGAGGGAAAGUCUGGUGCCAGCAGCCGCGGUAAUUCCAGCUCCAAUAGCGUAUAUUUGAGUUGUUGCAGUUAAAAAGCUCGUAGUUGGAUUUCUGUCUUGGUUUACGGGUACGCCUUAACAUUAAUUUGUGGGUGUUUUACUUUUGUUUAAGCCUGGACAAUAUUGGUUCCCGGUGUUUAUGUGUUUUUGUUGUUGCGUUAAGCGCAAUGAAUACAUGUAAAAUGUUGGGACUCUUUUACUUUGAGAAAAAUAGAGUGUUUCAAGCAGGCCUGUCGCCUUGAAUACUGCAGCAUGGAAUAAUAAUUUAGGACUUUGGUUCUAUUUUGUUGGUUUCUAGGACUAAAGUAAUGAUUAAUAGGGACAGUUGGGGGCA